rnacentral:lncRNA from 1 species
UGGAGGAUUUUCAAAACAAGGAAAGGUUGAUCCGAACCUAAAAUCGGAGUGUUUUGGGUUUACUUGUACCCGAGAAACAAGUGAUCUAGCUUGGGAUAGCUAGUGUCGGAGUUUCCGACGUUUUGUAUUCGGGUUGAAUACAAAGGAUAGUGGAUUGAAAUUCCCAAGUAGGAUCUUGGGGAGUGGAUGUAGGUGCAAGGUUAGCACCGAACCACUAUAAAUUCUUGUGUUUGUGGUGUGCUUUAUCGCUUUACUUUAUAUCUUUAUUAUAUUCUUGCAUUCCUGCUUUAGGUAAUUAAUAUUGAAUUAAAGUCUUUAUUUUGUUCUUCAUAAGUAAUCAGUUGGGCUUAAAAUUUUUAGAAACCCAAUUCACCCCCCCUCUUGGGUUGCAUAGCUGGGCAACAAUAUACAUCCCUGCUCUAUGUGCAUGGACUUCUAGUGAGACCUUCACUCCUUAGCGAGGGCUAUAGGCCAUUUUCUUUGCAGUAUAGUAUCAUGGCAUCCGAUGGUAUGACAUCUAGUUCCACAAUUAUAAGAACCAAGAUACAUCCUGCACAUCUACAGCACAUUCAGCUUCCAUUGAUCAGUUACUUGGAACCCUUCCAACAUACCGAUCCAUUCAUAACUCAAGAAUACAUACUAAUAUAGACAUUCUACCAUCAGUAUAUCC